rnacentral:lncRNA from 1 species
UGUUUGUGUGUGUGUGUAUGUGUGUGUUAUGUGUGAGUCGGGCUCUUAUACUCUUAUAAGUGUAUACUUUUUUGUACUCAUAAGUUUUCAGCCGUUAGAUCUACCCCUUUGAGCAUUUCCACCCGUUAGAUCGCACUAUUCAACAAACCACCUACUCAACUCUAGGGGACCACUAUCAUCCUAACUGGUAACCAUUAUCAUCCUAACCACACAUCUUUUUAUCCAACGGCCAAAAACUUAUGAGUACAAA